CAAUACUGUCAGAGAGGUAUGAGGUUGCUAAUGGCACCCCACAGGGCAGUGUGAUUAGCCCUGUGUUGUUUACAAUCAUGAUAGACGAUGUGUUUAGGGAUGUAGGUAGAGGUAUGGGUAUGGCACUAUAUGCAGAUGAUGGGGCUUUGUGGAAGAGAGGUAAGAAUGAGAAGUUUGUAAUGAGGAAGAUGCAAGAGGCGGUGGAUGUGGUGGAGGAAUGGUCCAAGAGAUGGGGUUUUAGGAUGUCGGUGACUAAAUCGUGUUUCAUGGUGUACUCGAGAAGGAGGGUGGGGGAGGUUCGGUUACAUAUGUAUAGACAGGAAUUGGGAAGGGAAACAUGUGGAGUUUAUAGAACAGAAGUGCAGGAAUGUGCUGAAUCUGAUGAGGGCUGUGGCAGGUGUAGACUGGGGGGCAGAUAGGAGGACACUGUUGUGUAUGUAUCAGGCAUUGGUUAGAUCCACGAUAGACUAUGGGUGUUUUAUUUAUGGAGCUGCGGCCAAGACGGUGAUACAGCGAUUGGACAGGGUGCAAUCACGAGCACUGAGGCUGUGUGUGGGGGCUAUCAGGACCACUCCGGUAGUGGUGUUGCAGGUGGAUACAGGGGAAUUGCCACUGAGCUCGAGGAGGGACAAGUUGGCGCUGCCGUAUUGGGGCAGGCU
ensembl:lncRNA